CGCGUAGGUGGUAGUGUAAGUCUGGGGUGGAAUCCCAGGGCUCAACCCUGGAACUGCCUUGGAAACUGCAUUACUUGAGUCAGUGAGGGGAGGGUAGAAUUCCUGGUGUAGCGGUGAAAUGCGUAGAUAUCAGGAGGAAGGCCUGUGGCGAAGGCGGCCCUCUGGCGCUGGACUGACACUGAGGCGCGAAAGCGUGGGAGCAAACAGGAUUAGAUACCCUGGUAGUCCACGCCCUAAACGGUGGGCACUAGGUGUAGGGCUCGUAAGGGUUCUGUGCCGAAGGGAAACCAUUAAGUGCCCCGCCUGGGGAGUACGGCCGCAAGGUUGAA
rnacentral:rRNA from 1 species